AACCGUUAUAACCGGCGAUUUCCGAAUGGGGAAACCCAGUGUGAUUCGUCACACUAUCAUUAACUGAAUCCAUAGGUUAAUGAGGCGAACCGGGGGAACUGAAACAUCUAAGUACCCCGAGGAAAAGAAAUCAACCGAGAUUCCCCCAGUAGCGGCGAGCGAACGGGGAGGAGCCCAGAGCCUGAAUCAGUGUGUGUGUUAGUGGAAGCGUCUGGAAAGGCGCGCGAUACAGGGUGACAGCCCCGUACACAAAAAUGCACAUGCUGUGAGCUCGAUGAGUAGGGCGGGACACGUGGUAUCCUGUCUGAAUAUGGGGGGACCAUCCUCCAAGGCUAAAUACUCCUGACUGACCGAUAGUGAACCAGUACCGUGAGGGAAAGGCGAAAAGAACCCCGGCGAGGGGAGUGAAAAAGAACCUGAAACCGUGUACGUACAAGCAGUGGGAGCCUCUUAAUGGGGUGACUGCGUACCUUUUGUAUAAUGGGUCAGCGACUUAUAUUCUGUAGCAAGGUUAACCGAAUAGGGGAGCCGAAGGGAAACCGAGUCUUAACUGGGCGUUAAGUUGCAGGGUAUAGACCCGAAACCCGGUGAUCUAGCCAUGGGCAGGUUGAAGGUUGGGUAACACUAACUGGAGGACCGAACCGACUAAUGUUGAAAAAUUAGCGGAUGACUUGUGGCUGGGGGUGAAAGGCCAAUCAAACCGGGAGAUAGCUGGUUCUCCCCGAAAGCUAUUUAGGUAGCGCCUCGUGAAUUCAUCUCCGGGGGUAGAGCACUGUUUCGGCAAGGGGGUCAUCCCGACUUACCAACCCGAUGCAAACUGCGAAUACCGGAGAAUGUUAUCACGGGAGACACACGGCGGGUGCUAACGUCCGUCGUGAAGAGGGAAACAACCCAGACCGCCAGCUAAGGUCCCAAAGUCAUGGUUAAGUGGGAAACGAUGUGGGAAGGCCCAGACAGCCAGGAUGUUGGCUUAGAAGCAGCCAUCAUUUAAAGAAAGCGUAAUAGCUCACUGGUCGAGUCGGCCUGCGCGGAAGAUGUAACGGGGCUAAACCAUGCACCGAAGCUGCGGCAGCGACACUAUGUGUUGUUGGGUAGGGGAGCGUUCUGUAAGCCUGUGAAGGUGGCCUGUGAGGGUUGCUGGAGGUAUCAGAAGUGCGAAUGCUGACAUAAGUAACGAUAAAGCGGGUGAAAAGCCCGCUCGCCGGAAGACCAAGGGUUCCUGUCCAACGUUAAUCGGGGCAGGGUGAGUCGACCCCUAAGGCGAGGCCGAAAGGCGUAGUCGAUGGGAAACAGGUUAAUAUUCCUGUACUUGGUGUUACUGCGAAGGGGGGACGGAGAAGGCUAUGUUGGCCGGGCGACGGUUGUCCCGGUUUAAGCGUGUAGGCUGGUUUUCCAGGCAAAUCCGGAAAACCAAGGCUGAGGCGUGAUGACGAGGCACUACGGUGCUGAAGUGACAAAUGCCCUGCUUCCAGGAAAAGCCUCUAAGCAUCAGGUAACAUCAAAUCGUACCCCAAACCGACACAGGUGGUCAGGUAGAGAAUACCAAGGCGCUUGAGAGAACUCGGGUGAAGGAACUAGGCAAAAUGGUGCCGUAACUUCGGGAGAAGGCACGCUGAUAUGUAGGUGAAGCGACUUGCUCGUGGAGCUGAAAUCAGUCGAAGAUACCAGCUGGCUGCAACUGUUUAUUAAAAACACAGCACUGUGCAAACACGAAAGUGGACGUAUACGGUGUGACGCCUGCCCGGUGCCGGAAGGUUAAUUGAUGGGGUUAGCGGUAACGCGAAGCUCUUGAUCGAAGCCCCGGUAAACGGCGGCCGUAACUAUAACGGUCCUAAGGUAGCGAAAUUCCUUGUCGGGUAAGUUCCGACCUGCACGAAUGGCGUAAUGAUGGCCAGGCUGUCUCCACCCGAGACUCAGUGAAAUUGAACUCGCUGUGAAGAUGCAGUGUACCCGCGGCAAGACGGAAAGACCCCGUGAACCUUUACUAUAGCUUGACACUGAACAUUGAGCCUUGAUGUGUAGGAUAGGUGGGAGGCUUUGAAGUGUGGACGCCAGUCUGCAUGGAGCCGACCUUGAAAUACCACCCUUUAAUGUUUGAUGUUCUAACGUUGGCCCCUAAUCGGGGUUGCGGACAGUGUCUGGUGGGUAGUUUGACUGGGGCGGUCUCCUCCUAAAGAGUAACGGAGGAGCACGAAGGUUGGCUAAUCCUGGUCGGACAUCAGGAGGUUAGUGCAAUGGCAUAAGCCAGCUUGACUGCGAGCGUGACGGCGCGAGCAGGUGCGAAAGCAGGUCAUAGUGAUCCGGUGGUUCUGAAUGGAAGGGCCAUCGCUCAACGGAUAAAAGGUACUCCGGGGAUAACAGGCUGAUACCGCCCAAGAGUUCAUAUCGACGGCGGUGUUUGGCACCUCGAUGUCGGCUCAUCACAUCCUGGGGCUGAAGUAGGUCCCAAGGGUAUGGCUGUUCGCCAUUUAAAGUGGUACGCGAGCUGGGUUUAGAACGUCGUGAGACAGUUCGGUCCCUAUCUGCCGUGGGCGCUGGAGAACUGAGGGGGGCUGCUCCUAGUACGAGAGGACCGGAGUGGACGCAUCACUGGUGUUCGGGUUGUCAUGCCAAUGGCACUGCCCGGUAGCUAAAUGCGGAAGAGAUAAGUGCUGAAAGCAUCUAAGCACGAAACUUGCCCCGAGAUGAGUUCUCCCUGAGACUUAGAGUCUCCUGAAGGAACGUUGAAGACGACGACGUUGAUAGGCCGGGUGUGUAAGCGCAGCGAUGCGUUGAGCUAACCGGUACUAAUGAACCGUGAGGCUUAACCUUACAACGCCGAAG
rnacentral:rRNA from 1 species